GACGAACGCUGGCGGCGUGCCUAAUACAUGCAAGUAGAACGCACAGUUUAUACCGUAGCUUGCUACACCAUAGACUGUGAGUUGCGAACGGGUGAGUAACGCGUAGGUAACCUGCCUGGUAGCGGGGGAUAACUAUUGGAAACGCUAGCUAAUACCGCAUAAUAUUAAUUAUUGCAUGAUAAUUAAUUGAAAGGUGCAAUUGCACCACUACCAGAUGGACCUGCGUUGUAUUAGCUAGUAGGUGAGGUAACGGCUCACCUAGGCGACGAUACAUAGCCGACCUCAGAGGGUGAUCGGCCACGCUGGGACUGGGACACGGCCCAGACUCCUACGGGAGGCAGCAGUAGGGAAUCUUCGGCAAUGGACGAAAGUCUGACCGAGCAACGCCGCGUGAGUGAAGAAGGUUUUCGGAUCGUAAAGCUCUGUUGUAAGAGAAGAACGGGUGUGAGAGUGGAAAGUUCACACUGUGACGGUAUCUUACCAGAAAGGGACGGCUAACUACGUG
rnacentral:rRNA from 1 species